rnacentral:rRNA from 1 species
UGGUCCUACGGGGGGCAGCAGUGGGGAAUAUUGCACAAUGGGGGAAACCCUGAUGCAGCGACGCCGCGUGAGUGAAGAAGUAUUUCGGUAUGUAAAGCUCUAUCAGCAGGGAAGAAGAAGGACGGUACCUGAGUAAGAAGCCCCGGCUAACUACGUGCCAGCAGCCGCGGUAAUACGUAGGUGGCGAGCGUUGUCCGGAUUUACUGGGCGUAAAGGGAGCGUAGGCGGACUUUUAAGUGAGAUGUGAAAUACUCGGGCUCAACUUGAGUGCUGCAUUUCAAACUGGAAGUCUAGAGUGCAGGAGG